rnacentral:rRNA from 1 species
AUUGAACGCUGGCGGCAUGCUUUACACAUGCAAGUCGAACGGCAGCAUGGGUGCUUGCACCUGAUGGCGAGUGGCGAACGGGUGAGUAAUGUAUCGGCACAUAUCCGCAAGUGGGGGAUAACGUAGCGAAAGUUACGCUAAUACCGCAUAUUCCCUGAGGGGGACAGGAGGGGAACCGCAAUGACAUUUCGCUUCCGGAGUGGCCGAUAUCAGAUUAGCUAGUUGGGGGGGUAAAGGCUCACCAAGGCGACGAACUGUAGCGGGUGUGAAAGGAUGAUCCGCCACACUGGGACUGAGACACGGCCCAGACUCCUACGGGAGGCAGCAGUGGGGAAUUUUGGACAAUGGGCGCAAGCCUGAUCCAGCCAUGCCGCGUGAGUGAAGAAGGCCUUCGGGUUGUAAAGCUCUUUCAGCUGGAAAAAAAUCCCUUCACCUAAUACGUGGAGUGGAUGAUGGUACCAGCAGAAGAAGCACCGGCUAACUACGUGCCAGCAGCCGCCGUAACAC